rnacentral:rRNA from 1 species
AUUGAACGCUGGCGGCAGGCCUAACACAUGCAAGUCGAGCGGAUGAAGGGAGCUUGCUCCUGGAUUCAGCGGCGGACGGGUGAGUAAUGCCUAGGAAUCUGCCUGGUAGUGGAGGAUAACGUCCGGAAACGGGCGCUAAUACCGCAUACGUCCUGAGGGAGAAAGUGGGGGAUCUUCGGACCUCACGCUAUCAGAUGAGCCUAGGUCGGAUUAGCUAGUUGGUGGGGUAAAGGCCUACCAAGGCGACGAUCCGUAACUGGUCUGAGAGGAUGAUCAGUCACACUGGAACUGAGACACGGUCCAGACUCCUACGGGAGGCAGCAGUGGGGAAUAUUGGACAAUGGGCGAAAGCCCGAUCCAGCCAUGCCGCGUGUGUGAAGAAGGUCUUCGGAUUGUAAAGCACUUUAAGUUGGGAGGAAGGGCAGUAAGUUAAUACCUUGCUGUUUUGACGUUACCAACAGAAUAAGCACCGGCUAACUUCGUG